AUCCACCCACUUCGGCCUCCCAGAGUGCUGGAAUUACAGGCAUGAGCCACCACGCCCGACCCCUACUUCUGCUUCCUAAAGAUCUCCCUUCUCAGGCUGCAACAUGCCAGGGCAGAGUUGAGAUUCUGGCCACUCAGGCCACACGAGUAUCUAGUAAGUCCUGGGUAAGAAACAGAAUUUUGAGCUUAGUAAGCUAAAGGGGGCUGAAAAGGAGUGAGACCGAAACAUGGAUAACUUUAAAGGAGAGACAAUUGGAGCAUUGAGUGUUCUCAGCUGGCAGUGGGCAGCGCAUGCUCCACUUGAUGCUGGCACCUCCGCGGGCAUCAGUCUCCUCCCCUGUGGAAGAGGGAUGAUUGCGUCUUCCUCACAGGGUCGUUGGUGGUGCUCAUGGGACGCUUGUGGGGGGCAUGAUGCUGUGACCUCAGUUUGCCUGAUUUCCCAGGUGGCUUCAUUUGGAG